CAUAAGGAAAGAAAGAGGGAGAGAGGGAGGGGAGUGGGGAAGGAUGGAAGGAAGGGAGGAAGGAUUUUUAUUGCUACUUGUGUAACCUUGUAUUAAGAACAAACAAGAAAAUUUAUACUUGAAUUUGAAUCUGGUAAAUCAGGACUUCCUUUUCUUAUGCAUCAAGACUGCCCUUUGAUUCUUUAAAUCCCAAUAAAACAAAAUAUUGAUAUCAAGAGAUUGAAGAGAUAGUAUGGUGCCCUUGUUGAGUAUAUGGGCUCUGGAAGCAGACUGCCUGAGUUUGAAUCCCGGCCCUUACUUAUUAGCUGUGUGAUAUUGGACAAGUUACUUAGCUUUCUGUGCCUCAGUUUCUUCAACAGUAAAAGGGGGUGUCAAUAGUAUCUACCUUGCAGGGUUGUUGUGAGCAUAAAACACACUACUGUGGAUGUCGCUUUAGAAUCGUAUUUGACGUGGUGAUGACCUAACCAAGGUUGGCUGUGGUUAUGGGUGUGUAAGGGAAUGAUUCCUUGCCAUGCCAGUUUUUCACUCACACAAACUUCUAACCCUCAGGUAGGCAUCUACUUCACUUCAGGACCCCACAGGUGGCUUGUUCACCCAGCAGAGGUGGCAGAGGGCCAAGGAUUUUCCCACAGGCUACAGUGAGUUCUGUGAAUGUGGUUGGUUGGGCCAGGAAGUGGGGAGGCUUCUGUGCCUUUUAUUGGUUUGCUUGGGGAAGACUGACUCUGUGGAGGCGUCCAGGUCCAAUCUUAUUUUAUAGUUCUGGGAUAUUGAUAGACAAACUCCUUCCUCAACUGUAUGAUCUCUAAGUCCAGAGGGUAUCUGCUAGGGAAGACAGGUGAUCAGUGAAUGCUUUGUUCAGAACAGUUUCCCAGGCUGGGCUUGGGCAGAGAACCCUGGACUGCAGGGGGUUUCACCUAAGGUUCUUGGUCCUGUUCUCUGACUGCUUCCUGGGGAUAAGGUGGCACUGCAGGGUGUCAGGUGUUCCACAGAGAAUUUUCCAGGGGUUUCCCAUUCCAAUUUUAAGGGGCCAGAUGCAUGUCAGGGUUGGCGGUAUGAAGACUGAAGGUGAGAACUGGCAAGAGGGGAUGGCCAGAACCUCCAGCUGGGCAGGUCACACCACCCUGACAUGCUACUGUAGGAGGUUCCCAUGGGUCCACCAGUUUGUCCAGUGUGGCAUGUUAUCUGUUCCUGCAAGGACUUGCUAUUUGCUUUGCAAAACCAAAUUCUCAGACUGAAGUCAGUGGUACAAACAGUGCCCACCAUGGAGGCUGAAGAGAAAAGGAGGAGAGUGAGACUUGUUGUCAGAAGAGGGACUUCCAUUUGAGCAGGAAGUGGAGAAGGAGGCUGGGCAUGUCAGGGAUAUGAGUGUGUACUGGGGAAGUGAGGAGACCAGGUUUUGGGAGUGGUAAAUGGCAUGUGGAUCUUGGACGAGGAGGGUCUGCCUGGAGCAAGCCCAUUGGGAUAGUUUUGACUUGAUUCCCUGGGAAACAGCAUGGAUCACCUGGGGAGGAGUUCACAAGGAAGGGCUUGUCUUCUGGCUGAGCCUGGCUGGGAACCUUUCCCAACAGUGUCAAGGGUAGUCAGAGUGCGGUCUAUAGCAUCAUGUGCAAAGGUGAACACAUAUAACUCACAGGUGUGACCAGGUGUGCUUGCACAAGAUGAUUAUCUCUGCUGAGUUUUCCAGCCUCUUAAUCCUUCUAGCUUUGAGCAUGUGAUCUAGGGUUUACAUAGACAUGACUUUAUAAGACUUAACGGGACCACAGGGUGCCAUGAUGUCAGAAGGAGAAACCAAGGGACUGGGAUUGUGACCCUGUGCUAGAGUGUUUGCCUAGCACGUGUGAGCCACUGGGCUCCAUCCUCAGCACCACAUAAAAAUAAGUAAAUAAAAUAAAGUUAUCGUGUCCAUCUAUGGGUUCAAAACAUUAAUUUUUUUUUAAAAACAAGGAGAAACCGAGGCACUAUAUUCUAAAGAACCUGGUUCUAGGAACUGCCCUUAAAUCACCAUGGAGUGAGACUUUGGGUAGGAGCUGCUUGGGCUCCUUCAUUCAGCAAUCUGGCUUCUAACAUUGGUUCUUUCCCAUCUCUUAUAAAGACGGGGGUGGGGGGAGGGUUACCUAAGAAAGGAUAUUUGGACAAACAACCAUUUUAAUUACUUCUCGUUGGUGCAGGUUGGUGGAGGCGGGAUGGGAAGAAGAGGGUUGCUCCUGGGGUUUCCAGUCACCCGAGUACUCCUUUAGACCAUCAAUGAGGGAGUGAGAGGACUCAAACGACUAAGAAAGAUGCAUAAUCCUUCACCAUGUGGGAAAGAGGCAGAAGGAAGAAGAAGACUUAAACUUGAGAGGGGGUGACCAAACCUGGUGGAGGCUCACAAUGCCCGUGAUACCCCAGUGCAUGCACGCUCCUCUGAUAGGAGUGCCUUUGGUUAAGAGGGCAGAGUGCAGGGCCAUGAAUCGCAAGGUCACCUCCCUAUAGUACUGACCAUCUGAGUUCCUCCUCUCCCCUCUGGGAGCUGCCCCCAUCACCCCUUGCCCCAUGAGUGACCGUCUCACUCCCAAAUGCCUUUUGUUCUUUCUCCCUUGGGCUGUGAGAAGGGCAAAAUGCCCAACCAGGAGACAGACAUGGAUAUGUGUGGUUGUGUGUGCAUGUGUGCGUGUGUGUAUGUAUAGGGCCUGGGGCUAUACACAGGUCAAAGCACAGGAGUAAGAGCUUCUGGGAGGUGAGGCUGCCCUUCAGUCAGCUCUACCCUGGAGCCCAGAGGACUCUUCGCUCAGCCCCAUCAACAGCUUGCAACAGCCUGAGCCGCCAGAGCAGCUUCAGUCACUGACCGGAGGAGCCCGGGAGAAGCCGCAUGAGUGCUCAUGAUGCCAGGACCCUGGAAAGUUCUGGAAUAAAAAUACAUGGGCCUUGGGCAAUGGAGGUGAUGGUGGGCUCCCGCCUCAUGACCCAAUGGGACUCUGUGGAGCUGACAAAAUCCUUUACUUCCUACAACUUGAGCCUGGUGCUUUCUUCACGGUAUAUUCUAUGAGCACUGCAAGGCACAGAGCCUAGUGACUUUAGCAGGAAGUGGUAGAAGCAGAAUUCAAACCCACUGCAGAGCUUGCAUCUUCCACCCCAGGGCUCCCCCAGUUGGUGAGCCAGCAGGGAGGGGACAGUGGCCCAGUCUGAAGAAGCUGGUCCUGACAGCUACCCUCCUUCACCUUCUCUCCUGAACUUUCUUUAUUGGCUCAUCUUCAGCCCAUCCUCCACACUACCAACAGAAAAUCCACUCCAAACACCAAAAGGAUCUUACACUGCCUGCUGGGGACUCUGAUGGCUUCCAUUCAGCCAAGGCUGCGACUGAACUUCCAGGAUGGGCGCAUGAAGACUUCGUGGUCCUCUUUGGCUUCGGCCUCCCUCCCGCUCCCUGUCAUCAGGCCUCAUCUAACACCAUUCACCAGCCUCCCCCACACAGCUGUGUGUGGUCAGGCCCCAGACCUGGGCUCAUUACUGUCUUUCUUCCAGUCUGCAGUCUGCGUUGCCCUUCUCCCCUGACCCCCUGACAAAUGCUCACACAUCCUUUAGACUCAGGGCAGUUAAGCCUUUCUCUUCCUCUCCCAGGCCUGGCUGUUUGUUUCCUUUCUUAGGUUUCCACACUCUUGCUACAGGCCUCUAUCCUCAGCAGCGGAGCUGAGACUGGAUCCCACUCUACCAGCUGCUAAGCUCUGGUCGGUGACUCUCUUCCCAAGUCCACGUUCAGGGAUGCCAUGCUAAAUAGCUCGAAGUCAGCCCCAGUGGUGGUAUUUACACCGUAGACAUUCACAGACACCACAACUCAGCCCUUCUCCCACCCCCACAGCCUAUGGAGUAGGCACGACCCGCGCCUAAUUCCCUGACUGGCAUAUUGUCUCCUCCCAAACUACAAGUGCGCCAAAGGAAGGGCUGUGUCUUACUCGUUUUUUAAAGACAGGCCCAGCAGGAUGUCUGGGCUCAAGUGAGAAGUACUGAUAACUUGCCAGACAGGAGACUUUCCCUGGAGGACUUGUCACUUAGUUGUGGUGACAGUACAUUCAGCUGCCCCCCUCAUCCUUUGAAAACUGCCCUAACCCUAACCCAAUGUCAACUUCCCCCUCAGAAGCCCUCAAGAGCUGCCUCUGUCUGUAUGACUGGAAUGCAAAGCCCCUGGAGGCAGGGAUUUUUGUCUGCCUUGUUUUGACCCUGUGAAUGGUGCUCAGCAUGGAGAAGUGAUUAGUGCCACACUGUCAGAUCCAUCAAUAAGUGAUAAAAUCCAAGCCCCUUAAUAGAACCUUCAAGGCCCUUCACUGGACUGCUCUACUCUCCCUCAGCUGCUGUAGUCACUUCCCCUGGGUAAGAAUCUCCACUAGAGUUCCAGUUAUCCUCUCGCCAGCCCACAGGGUUAGGACCUGAUUCCAAGCACCACCAUGAAACUGCCUCUCCUUCCCCUCCAUUUGCCAAAGGCCUCUUCACUCUCCAGUCUCUACUGACUUUCAAAACAUGCUCUGUCUUCUGUGGCAACAGCCUUAAAGAUUACGAUUGCUUUCUCUGUCCUUCAUGGGGCUCUGACCUCCUUGAGGGCAGAGCAGAUAUGUGGAUGGCCUUGGGUUCAUCCAGGCCCUUCAGCACCUAACUUAGGGUCCUACGUGCAAUAGGUACACAGAGUGAUCCAUAUUUGUGGUCUAUAUUUGCUCACAUUAAAAAAAAAAAUAGAGACUACCAAGAUGUGUGCAAAUCCUAGCCUCUGAUCUAUCCACUCCAGGGAAUAGUAUGGGUUAGCAAAAUCUUAACUACUGUCACUCGGGGUUGGAGGUGGAUGGUGCCGUGGGGAACAUGACCAAAUCUGGAAUUAGCCUCACUGGCCCAGGUGUCAGUCUCGUGGUGGAGUGACCCCCUGACUUGAUAGUUCCCUUUUCCUUUUCCUUCCAGCUCACAGCUGCCUUGAUCCUAGCUGAAUGUAGCUUCUUCUGCCAGCCAGUGAACUACAACCAAGCAAGCUCAGGGUGAGGGUACAGUAGAAAGUGGGACAAUUAAGGUUGAAGAGAGAGGGUUGGUGGGAAGCCCUUCAUAUAACAACUGGAACUGGACCAAGGCAGAGUCACCAAGCUUUCUGACAGGAGGCUGGGAACUGGUUGGUUAAGAAAAGGCUUUGGAAUUAGAGGACCACAGGCCUCAGUUUGGACCUCAGAUCUGCCAGUUACUGACCAUAUGACACACCUUUUCUGGAUCUCAAUUUUCUUAUCUAUAUAAUGGGGAUAACAACACUUAACUUUAUAAAGGGAAACUUGAAGAAAAGAUUGAAUUAGACAAUGUAUGAGUGUAUAGUGCUGUGACAAGCACAUAUUACUGGUCUCUAAGUGGUAGUUAUUUCAUUAUUGCUAGCUGUUCUCUGUUUCAACUGGGAGCAGAACAAAAGGCUUCCUGGCAGCAAGAAAGCUAAGCUUUGACAGGUCGCCGAGUAGUGAUAUGGAUGUUGAGUCACUGGAGUUCCAGCAAUGAGCUAAAAGUCUUACCAACUCAAAAUAUGGUCCACGAACCAGUAGCAUCAGCAUCACUGGGAGCUUGUUCAAAACGCAAAAUCUGUACUCCACCUCAUGCCGCAAGCACACCGAUUAAAAAUCUGCUUUCCAAUAAACAAGAUAUCUCACUUGCUUAGGAUUGGACUGAGCACUUUGGAGAGUCCUGUGACCACUCCAGUAACUUUGCCCACUUCUUCCUGGGCUAACAAGUGUUUAACUACAGACGGGCAGGUAGGCACCUUGGGAACAGGAAGUGUGCAGGAACAGUGAGGGCUGAAUCCUGCCCUGCGCGGCAAGCUGUGCCACCAGCACGACUGCAGUCUGACUGAACUUCCCCUUCCUGCCCAGCAGAUGGCGAGCGUGUGCUGGUGGUACUGCUCAAAGUCUGCUGAGUCUCUAAGUAAGGUGAGAUUCUCCAAGCUUUGGCUCCCUUACAGUUCUAUCAGCCAGGUCUGGGGUGGUGUUUCACCCGCCCAGUGUGAAUGCUUUCCUCCAGCAUCCCUGUUGGAUGUAAAGCCUUGGUUCCAAAACCUGACUGAGGAAGGAUGCUCAGGUACUGAGGCAGCAUAUCACUGCUACAGACUCCCAUGAGUCCCCACUGUUCAUCUAUGCACCUGCAUGAAAGUAGUCAUAUGUCCUCAAUAGCAACCAGGUUCUAGGUUAAAUUAAAAUCUAAAAAAUGAGAAAUUUUUCAAAAGUGAUAUUCUAUGGUGAGGGUCAUCAGACAGCAAAAGCCAUCCUUACAUGUUAACGAGAGAAAGGAACCCUGUGUGUCAAUCCAAAGGGUUUGCCGGACCUAGUAGGUCAAGAUCAUAAUGGGGGAUAGUGGUGAUGAAAAGGUGUCCAGUCCUCUGUCCACUGCCCUGGGUGGCAGGUAGGAUGUUGGAAAAAGUCCAGUCUCAGAAACCCACUGCUCCAAUCCGAUUUUGGCCACCUAUUAGUUGUGUGCCAUUAGGCAAAUUACUUAACCUUCAGUGCCUCAGUUUCCCCACUUGCAAAGGGGAUAUAAAGGGAGUAUAAAUUGCAUAUUUUUAUGUAGCAUUUAAAUGGUUUUUGAUAUAUGUAAAGUACCUGGCACAUAGUAGGUGCUAAACAGGUGUUUGAUUAUUGUUUCCCUUUAAUUUUAAUCCCUCCUUCAGAAAAGCAGGCAGAAUCAUUACCCUGUCCUUUAUUUUUCUUUUCUUUCUUUAUUUCUAUUUUUUGGGGGGCUAUAUUGAGGAUUGAACUCAGGGUCCCACACACACUAAGCGAACACUAUAUCGGCAGGAUACCCUGAAGGAAUACCUGAGGUCCCCAGAGAAGACACCAGAGAAAGUCUCGAGAAUUGACACCCUAUUUUGUUCCUCUCCAGAUUUUCUUUAUAUUACAGAAGAAGCCAGAUUCACUUGCUUACCUUCUACUGGUGGGCUGGAGUCAAAUAUGUGCCAGGUGGUUCAAAUUGUUGACACAACCCUAUGCAGGUCUUUGUGGGGCGGGUCUCUGAUGGGCUGUGUGCCAGUUUGGGAGUACAGACUAUGACAUUUUGCCUCUGAGGUGUCCCUUCCCUGAGGCCAUGAGGCCAGAGCACUGCUCCCUUUCUGCCUCUAUGGCUCCUCAGAGCCUUCUAGAUGCUCCUCCCUGGGGUGGUGCAGGCAGCUGCUGGGAGAUGCUCAUCCCACAGCCCAGAGUGGACUUAGGGAGGUAUAAAAAUCCGGUUUCCCUGGGCCUCCAUCGUCACUUCAGAUGGCUCAGGCCUGACCUCCUCCAUGUGAGAACUUCUCAAGGAUUUUCUCUACAGGGUUUGCAGGAGUGAUCUCAGGAGACUUGAGGAUGGGAACAUGGAAGAGGAAACCCUAACCACCACUGGGCCCAGCUCCACUUACUUUCCUCCACCUACCCACCCUACACUGCAGCUUUCUCCAUCAGGAUGCUUCAUUCUUUGGCCCACAUCUUCAUGCAACUGUACUGAGGACUGGCCAGCCUGGGGCCUCACGUGUGGCCCUCCCAUGUGGAAAUGACAUUCUGCCAUCUGUUGAGAAGACUCCCAAGUCUCCAAAGGCCUAAGCUGAGCCCAGCUCUAUUUUUGACUACACCAGUGACUUGGUAUCUGACCUUGAACAUCUAAUCCCUGAAUCUAAUCCCUGGAUCUUCUUUAGUCUCCCAAUUUGCAAGUGCCUCAGUGGCCUUGCAACCCUAACUCAGUGAAAUGAUGUGGAACUUCGAGCAAGUGACUUCCAUGCUCUGGCCUCAACCUCAUCACCUAUAGAAUGCAGGGCUCAGCUAGAUGACCUCAAAGCAGUAAUAUCCUGUGAGUCUGUGAACAUGCAUUGGUCACAUGUGCUGGGGUGCCCUGAUGGUGGUGACAACCCAAGGUAUCCUUCAGGGGAUUGGGAUGGACCAGGUUCAUCAUCAGCACCAGUAAUGACAUGGCUAUAUGGGAGUAAAUGGGGAACCAGACCAGUAGAAGGGUCAGGAAGAUUCCAAGUGGAACUGUGGACUGGGCUUCAUCAUUCUUCCUAAGCUGUUGGCUGCCUGCCCUCUGCUGAGACAGAGGCCCAAGACAAGAGGGACCAAGCACAGGUAUAUUCUCAUUCCUCAGUCCUGCUUCUCCCCUCCCUUUCCUCCCAUGCUUUCUUUUGUCCACGAUUAGUUUGUGGUCAUGGCUGCCCAAUCCUCCUACAAUCUCUUUACCAAGUGUCCAUUACCCCAGGGGUUCAACACUCUUGUCCUUACAAGCUGGCCUCAUCAAGCCUUUUCUCAACUUCUAUCACCAGACAUACCUGAGGGACAAGCAGGAGAAGCUGACUUAAAGAGCAGGACUGAGCACUAAAACUAGUGGAGCUGUCCCUAGACAGAAGACAGUACGGCUCCAAGCCCACCUGUGCUGAGCAAAUCCCUCUAGGAAUAUAUUUCAUCCAGUGAGGGAAGGAGAAAAAUUGCCUCCUUUUCAGAGAGCAGGAAGAAAUGGGUACCAGCAUCCUGUACUCAGUUCUGUGAAAACACUUCUCACCUGGACUUAUAACUGUCUGUGCAUCUCCUUCCCCUACUUGAUCUAAGCCCCUCAUGGCAGGGAUUGUCUUAUUUCCAGUGUUCCCCACACCUGGCAUGGAGUCUCAAUAAAUGUAUCUUUUGACCCUUGGA